ensembl:rRNA 5S_rRNA 5S ribosomal RNA
AUAUGCAGCCAUAUCACCCUGCAACUCACAACUAGCAACCCACUGAAGCUAAGCAGGUGUGAGCCUGGUCAGUGCCUGGAUGGGAGACCUCCUGGGAAAAACUAAGGUUGCUGCUGGAA